GUUGCGAUCARCGAGYWUACAACCUUGACCGAAAGGUCUGGGUAAUCUUUGAAAUCGCAACGUGAUGGGGCUAGAGCAUUGCAAUUAUUGCUCUUCAACGAGGAAUUUCUAGUAAACGCAUGUCAUCAGCGUGCAUUGAUUACGUCCCUGCCCUUUGUACACACCGCCCGUCGCUCCUACCGAUUGAAUGAUCCGGUGAAAUCUCGAGACUUGGGACUCGCGCCGCGAGGCGCGCAGACUCGGGGAACUUGCUUAAACCWUAHYRYUUAGAGGAAGGAGAAGUCG
rnacentral:rRNA from 1 species